rnacentral:rRNA from 1 species
AUUGAACGCUGGCGGCAGGCCUAACACAUGCAAGUCGAGCGAGCGGCGGACGGGUGAGUAAUGUAUGGGGACUGCCCGAUAGAGGGGGAUAACUACUGGAAACGGUGGCUAAUACCGCAUACUAUCGGAUAACCCAUAUGGGAUUAGCUAGUAGGUGGGGUAAAGGCUCACCUAGGCGACGAUCUCGAGCUGGUCUGAGAGGAUGAUCAGCCACACUGGGCCUGAGACACGGCCCAGACUCCUACGGAUGCAGCAGUGGGGAAUAUUGCACAAUGGGCGCAAGCCUGAUGCAGCCAUGCCGCGUGUGUGAAGAAGACAUUAGGAUUGUAAAGUACUUUCAGCAUGAAGGCAUUGCCCGCAGAGAAAGCACCGGCUAACUCCGUGCCAGCAGCCGCGGUAAUAC